rnacentral:rRNA from 1 species
GUGGUGAUAGCGGAGAGGAAACACCCGUUCCCAUCCCGAACACGGAAGUUAAGCUCUCCAGCGCCGAUGGUAGUUGGGGCCAGCGCCCCUGCAAGAGUAGGUCGCUGCUAGGCAAUC